rnacentral:piRNA from 1 species
UUGGACUGGUCUUUGUUGGUGAGGAA